GCCAUGCCACCCUGAAUACACUGAACAUUGAUCUUGUACUGAACAUGCUGAAGAUGUCUGAUCUCAGAAGCUAAGCAGGAUUGGGCCUGGUUAGUACUUGAAUGGGAGACCACCUAAGAAGACUAGGUGC
rnacentral:rRNA from 1 species